rnacentral:rRNA from 1 species
UACGUAGGGGGCAAGCGUUGUCCGGAUUUAUUGGGCGUAAAGAGCGUGUAGGCGGCUUGGUAGGUCCGCUGUGAAAACUCGAGGCUCAACCUCGAGAUGUCGGCGGAAACCACUUGGCUAGAGUCCGGAAGAGGAGAGUGGAAUUCCCGGUGUAGCGGUGAAAUGCGCAGAUAUCGGGAAGAACACCUAUGGCGAAGGCAGCUCUCUGGGACGGUACUGACGCUGAGACGCGAAAGCGUGGGGGAGCGAACAGG